rnacentral:tRNA from 1 species
AGGCGAUUAGUUAAGAAAAACAUUUGAUUUCGGCUCAAAAGCUCGUGGUUAAAGUCCACCUUCGCCUA